rnacentral:rRNA from 9 species
AGGGAUCAUUACCGAGUUUACAACUCCCAAACCCAAUGUGAACGUUACCAAACUGUUGCCUCGGCGGGAUCUCUGCCCCGGGUGCGUCGCAGCCCCGGACCAAGGCGCCCGCCGGAGGACCAACCUAAAACUCUUAUUGUAUACCCCCUCGCGGGUUUUUUUUAUAAUCUGAGCCUUCUCGGCGCCUCUCGUAGGCGUUUCGAAAAUGAAUCAAAACUUUCAACAACGGAUCUCUUGGUUCUGGCAUCGAUGAAGAACGCAGCGAAAUGCGAUAAGUAAUGUGAAUUGCAGAAUUCAGUGAAUCAUCGAAUCUUUGAACGCACAUUGCGCCCGCCAGUAUUCUGGCGGGCAUGCCUGUCCGAGCGUCAUUUCAACCCUCGAACCCCUCCGGGGGGUCGGCGUUGGGGAUCGGCCCUCCCUUAGCGGGUGGCCGUCUCCGAAAUACAGUGGCGGUCUCGCCGCAGCCUCUCCUGCGCAGUAGUUUGCACACUCGCAUCGGGAGCGCGGCGCGUCCACAGCCGUUAAACACCCAACUUCUGAAAUGUUGACCUCGGAUCAGGUAGGAAUACCCGCUGAACUUAA